CGUACGCUUCUUUUUCCCCGGAGCUUGCUCCACCGGAAAAAGAAGAGUGGCGAACGGGUGAGUAACACGUGGGUAACCUGCCCAUCAGAAGGGGAUAACACUUGGAAACAGGUGCUAAUACCGUAUAACAAUCGAAACCGCAUGGUUUUGAUUUGAAAGGCGCUUUCGGGUGUCGCUGAUGGAUGGACCCGCGGUGCAUUAGCUAGUUGGUGAGGUAACGGCUCACCAAGGCCACGAUGCAUAGCCGACCUGAGAGGGUGAUCGGCCACAUUGGGACUGAGACACGGCCCAAACUCCUACGGGAGGCAGCAGUAGGGAAUCUUCGGCAAUGGACGAAAGUCUGACCGAGCAACGCCGCGUGAGUGAAGAAGGUUUUCGGAUCGUAAAACUCUGUUGUUAGAGAAGAACAAGGAUGAGAGUAACUGUUCAUCCCUUGACGGUAUCUAACCAGAAAGCCACGGCUAACUACGUGCCAGCAGCCGCGGUAAUACGUAGGUGGCAAGCGUUGUCCGGAUUUAUUGGGCGUAAAGCGAGCGCAGGCGGUUUCUUAAGUCUGAUGUGAAAGCCCCCGGCUCAACCGGGGAGGGUCAUUGGAAACUGGGAGACUUGAGUGCAGAAGAGGAGAGUGGAAUUCCAUGUGUAGCGGUGAAAUGCGUAGAUAUAUGGAGGAACACCAGUGGCGAAGGCGGCUCUCUGGUCUGUAACUGACGCUGAGGCUCGAAAGCGUGGGGAGCAAACAGGAUUAGAUACCCUGGUAGUCCACGCCGUAAACGAUGAGUGCUAAGUGUUGGAGGGUUUCCGCCCUUCAGUGCUGCAGCUAACGCAUUAAGCACUCCGCCUGGGGAGUACGACCGCAAGGUUGAAACUCAAAGGAAUUGACGGGGGCCCGCACAAGCGGUGGAGCAUGUGGUUUAAUUCGAAGCAACGCGAAGAACCUUACCAGGUCUUGACAUCCUUUGACCACUCUAGAGAUAGAGCUUCCCCUUCGGGGGCAAAGUGACAG
rnacentral:rRNA from 1 species